rnacentral:rRNA from 1 species
AGCAGCCGCGGUAAUACGGAGGGGGUUAGCGUCGUUCGGAAUUACUGGGCGUAAAGCGCGCGUAGGCGGAUUAGUCAGUUAGAGGUGAAAUCCCGGGGCUCAACCCCGGAACUGCCUUUAAUACUGCUAGUCUUGAGUUCGAGAGAGGUGAGUGGAAUUCCGAGUGUAGAGGUGAAAUUCGUAGAUAUUCGGAGGAACACCAGUGGCGAAGGCGGCUCACUGGCUCGAUACUGACGCUGAGGUGCGAAAGUGUGGGGAGCAAACAGGAUUAGAUACCCUGGUAGUCCACACCGUAAACGAUGAAUGCCAGUCGUCGGGUAGCAUGCUAUUCGGUGACACACCUAACGGAUUAAGCAUUCCGCCUGGGGAGUACGGUCGCAAGAUUAAAACUCAAAUGAAUUGACGGGG